UACGGAGGGUGCGAGCGUUAAUCGGAAUUACUGGGCGUAAAGGGUGCGUAGGUGGUUUGAUAAGUUAUCUGUGAAAUCCCCGGGCUUAACCUGGGCAGGUCAGAUAAAACUGUUAGACUCGAGUAUGGGAGAGGGUAGUGGAAUUUCCGGCGUAGCGGUGGAAUGCGUAGAGAUCCGGAAGAACACCGGUGGCGAAGGCGGCCCGCUGGGCAACUGCUGACACUGAGGCGCGACAGCGUGGGGAGCAAACAGGG
rnacentral:rRNA from 1 species